GGGACCUGGGCCCCGGCCGCCUCCUGCGUCACCGCCACCCCCGCCCGCCCGACGACCCUGCGCUCGGCGCGCUGCGGAGGGCUGAGGGACAGGUCUCGAGCGUGGGAUACCUUCCACCCUGGGGAUCGAUCACUGUCUGCCAACAGUAACAAGUGAUGCUGGUCUCUUCCUCUUUAAAAACCAACUUUCCUCCCGAGUCAUCCACGAAGUCUGCCACAGUCUGAGGGAUGCCUCAGGGUCUCAGCUCAUUUGUAAAGAUAUAUUAAGUCCAAGAAAUGCUAACGAAAGCUUUUCAAGCCCAGACUAUCAACUUCCUCGGGAGCCAGGUAAGACCCACAACAGAGGAGUGACCCUGCACAAAUCUGCAAAAACAACAUCAGUGACAACAAAAACUGAAUAUGGAAAAGUGGACCUGUUGAUCAGCUGUCCUCGUUAAGAGUUAUAGCUUUUACCACAAUGAAAAAGGUGGGCAGAGAAUUUUGUCAUCGUCCCUGUUCUAGAGGAAGAGGUGAAUUUAUAUGACCCGAGACUGCAACAUCGACUCUUGCCUGAGUUGCCAGCCUGCCAGCCUGCCUUAGGGAUUUCAGAUGUGCCAGCUCCCCACAGCUUCAGGAGGCAAUUCCCUGUUUUUAACCUACAGUUGUACUCAAUGCGUAAGUGAAAUUAUGCAUGCAUAAGAUUCUGUAGUACUGCAGAUACAACGAAAUGCCCUUUACUGAAAUAUCAGUUGAAAACUUAUGGCACACUCAUAUUUAGAAUAAUUGCAGCCAUAAACAAGAAGAAAAUAGAAGGCUCCCUCUAUUCUUACACUGAAUUUUAUCUAAGAUAAUAUUAAGUGAAAGAAGCAAGAUACAGAAUAGGAUGUAUGGAAUAAACCAAUGUUACCACAAUAAAAAAAAAAGAAGGGGGGUAUGGAUGCUACCAUUUGUAUAAAAGGAGAGAGGAGGCAGGGUAAUACACACACACACUCACACACACACACACACACACACACACUGUCUCUGGAAGGAUAUAUAAAGAAUAUAUAGAGAUAUAUAUAAAGAUAUAUAAAGAACUUUGAAAUUUGGUACCAUGUAUCAUGAAAACAAGUCACUUUGAGAUGAAAUGAAAGGGCACAGCACAUAACAUUUUUAAGGAAAGGCUGCAGAAUCCCGGGUAGCUGUUGGCGCACAGUUGCUCACAGGCUUGUGAUUUCUCUGCCCUCUAGAGGCUGCUCUGAGAACUUGCCGUGACCGUUCCUGUGGUCCCCUCAUCAGCCCCCUUCCAAAUAGUCUAGGGGCACAGGCCUGAAAUGGCCACUCACAGGAUGGUUUUCCUCUGACUACAUGCCUUCCUUUCAGCUGGUUCCUGUGAUGUUGGCAGUCGACGGCUGUGCCUGUGGGGAGAAUCAGAACUUGAAUGAACCACAGCUCUACUGAGAUCUCUCAGAAACAGAAUCACACAUGUUAAAACAGAAUUGGUCUUCAGUCACUAAUGAAAUACUGAUAGUUCUUUAUUACUGAAUUUUGGUCAAAAAUAUAAAACUAGAAAAUAAAAUUAUAGAAUGAUUUUUUAUUUGUAUUUAUGAAUAUAGUCUUUGACAUAUAAAUGAAUUACAUAAUAAAUUGUGGUGAUGGAUUUUAAAUCCUGGCACAUUCGAAAUGUACAGAAAGGACUUUGUAAUCACAUUUUCUCACUGCUGGCUGCAGCUGAAUAAUAUGGAAAAUAAACAAUUUUUUAACUUUAAUUUUUUGAAAUUUAAAUAGAUAUUAUAAUUUAACAAUACAACAAACACAUAUUCAACCGUCACACAGUCAUUGUGAAUAUUUUUCAUUUUUGCUUCCAACUACUUUUUUAUUAAAAAACUAAGAUGUGUUUUCUGAUCAGAGAAUGAUGACAUACUCAUUGACAAUUUCAAAAACAUGAAAAGUUUAUCAAUAUUAACAGGGUUAACUAAAACAAUUUGAAAUUGUCAGAAAUAGUUUAUUGUUUCAUAACAAAAUCUUUUAAGUCAAUGCCAAUAUUCAUAACUUUUAAAAGUCUCCUGUAAAAGGUUACGAAAGUCUGUUUAUUUAAUCCUGUUUUAACUGAUGUUAUAUUCUUUGCAAAUUAUUGCAUAAAGACAUAUUUCUAUAAGGGUUUAAAGGAGGAAGAAGCAACCUAUUUCAUGUGCAUUGUGAGUGCUCUUAACAAUCAUCCUUGAACAGUAUUAAGUAGCCAGGAGCAAAUAGAUUUAGGUGCUUUGUAAAUCCAGUAAAAGACACAGACUUCAAUUUUCCAGAACAUAACCUCUUAACACUACUUCUCUAUCUGACCAUUAAAUGCUGCUGAUCCUCAAGGUUCUGUCCUAGACAUUGUGUCCUCUAUAAACUCUUAACGCCAGUUCCUUGCAUUCUCCUGGCUUGUCACCAGUAUGCCCACCUGGAUCACUCUCUCCAACUCUGGACUCCCCACUGAUCUCCAGGCUUGCUGGAUCUUUCCAUAUGGAUAUUCCCUGGGUGCAUCAAACUCAACAUGUCUAAAAGAGAAUUCACCAUCGUUCCCCCAAAACUGUUUGUUCAUCAGUGUUCACUAUCACCUGCUUAGUCAACCAGGAGCCAGGCAGCAUCCUAUGCUAUUCUCCCUCCCUGCCUUCAUAUCAAAUUUCUCAAGUCUGUCCAGUUUUACUACCUAAGCAUUGUCAAAUUCUCCUGUCCUAGAUUUAGCCUGAACAUCUCUUACCUAGACUGUUUCAUCACUUACUAAUUAUUCUUCCUGUCUCCAGCAGUACCUUUCUUUGCAUUCAUCUACAAAGCAACCAGAAAGAUGCGUCCAAAAUGCACUUCUGGAGAGAAACUAUCACUUAAGCUAACGCAAAUUGGUCUAUGAAAAAAACACAGGGGCUGGCCCCUGUGGCUGAGAGGUUAAGUUCGUGCACUCUGCUUCAGCAGCCCUGGGUUUCACC